GUUACAAUUGCAUUCGGCGCAAUAGCACAGAAAGUGGUAACCCAUAGCGCAGCUCCACUGGUUCCAAAUUUGAUGGACACAGCCAUGAGUUACCUGGCAGUAUUGUGGCAGAGGGUAUCUUGUGCCACAGAAGUACAUACGAACAGUCCAGCAGAAAUACAGCAGCAGCCCAAUCCCAGUCUAUAACUCUGCAGAGGCUCAGAGAGAUAGCAGCAAACCAGGUCCUUCCCACAACUCUCCGCAAGCUCGGGAUUCGUCGCAAACCCAGCCAGCCAGCCAUGUACGAACC